AAGAAGAGGUUGGUGUUACAUGGAGCAGCAGCACAGUCAAGCAGGGAACAGAUCACGUAAAGCCCUUUAGAGAGUGAAGUCGGCUUUUUAUGCUAGGUGCAACUGGGAGUUCUGAACACGGCAAAGUUGGACAUUCCAAAGAUGGCGUAGAUGAACAUGACCAGGAAGAGCAGGAGGCCGAUGUUAAACAACGCAGGAAGGGACAUCAUCAAAGCAAAGAGCAGCGUGCGGAUCCCCUUUGCUCCUUUGACUAGACGUAGGAUUCGGCCAAUCCUGGCAAGACGGAUCACUCGGAACAGGGUAGCAGAGAUCUCUGGAGGUGAAACAUUGCUCUGAACUGGCAUUGAUUCUAGCCCAGCUCUUGUAGACCAAUUACCAACUUGCAAAGGGUUAUCAACUGUGCUGCACUCUGAGGAGCUUGACCGGUUUAAUCUCUAGAAAGGAAUUCACCACCCCACCAGCACGCGGAACACAAUCAGGAAGGAGUGGAAGAAGUCGUUCAUGUGCCACCGUGGGAGCGUACAGUCAUCAUUGAUCUUGCAGACACAUUCUUUGUAGCUCUUACCAAAGAGCUGCAUGCCGACCACAGCAAAAAUGAAGACGAUGAUGGCCAACACUAAGACCUCAUGAACUGAGCAGAGC
rnacentral:lncRNA from 10 species